rnacentral:lncRNA from 1 species
AUUAAACUGCUUAGGAUAAUGUAAAAAAAAGUACUUUGGCACCUUUGAGACAAUUAUUCAUAAGUUUUUGGGGUCCCAACAGAAUUUUUCUUCAGAACAGGACACAGACAUGAAAUACUUUGGUAUAAUUUUAGAUUAUUUAUUACCAUUAAUACCCUGCAACCUCUUCAUGCAUUUUAUAGACAUCUGGUUAAGUAUCCCAGCUUUAAGUAUUUUAUAUUGAGCUUUUCAGAAAUAAUUAUUACACAAGGUUAUACAUAGAAUUUUCUGAAAAUUAUAAAAUGUGAAAUUGGUUAUGAAUAACCUUCAAAAUAGGAUAUUUUCUUUAUCAACCACUUACAAAUGCUUGGACCCUCAUAGUUAGGCUACUUUUGUGAUGUUGUACUUGGAAUCUGGCCUUAUUGGCAUAUAUGGCCUUAACACUUGAAUACAGAUUGUCUCUGAUAUAGAACU